UGAUGGUGUGUUUUAAUGUGAGCGAGUGUGACAGCGCUUAUGCUAUCUUAGUUUGGAUUUGUGAUUAAACGAUUCAAAAUGAAGUUCUCCUGGCCUCUGGUCUGUGUGCUCAUUUUGUCCUGCGUUUGCUUCGGAGGUUCAUAUGAGGAGCUGUCUGUGUUUCAGAGCCCAUUGAAUAUCACUGUGAAUGAAGGAGAACCUAUUCAAAUCAGCUGCUGCUGGAAUAAAGCAAACAUUUUUAAAGUAUUUUGGUAUAAACAUAAUGAAAGAAUACCAGAAGAAAAGGGGCUAUAUCAAAUGCCCUCAAAUAAAAACUGCUCCUUUCUGGAAAUCACAAAUACAGUUAAAAAUGACACCGGAGAUUAUGUUUGUAAAGUGAUUCAGGACAUACCAAUUUUGAUGGAAUAUGAAGGACAAAAAACACACCUGAAUUUCGUUAAAGGUGAACACAGUACUGAGGCAACAACUCAAAAUAUUGUUCAUACGGUUUCCAGCCCAACAACCAAAAAGCCAGCUGUAGUUGAUCAUCCGAAGAGAAAUACAGAAGAUGCAAACUUUACUUAUUUGGAACCUAAGGGUAGUUCGCAGGAGGUUGUGAUCAUUUAUAUUUUCAGAAGUCUGCCCUUCAUCUGUCUGUUAGUGGCAUUCUUUUACCUAAACAGGGACAACAAACAAGUCACAUCAUUACGACCAGUUGAGCAUGCUGUAGAGUUGGGAGUGAGACCAGAUGAAGACCUGGAGGCCGGAGAGACACAGAAGAAUGAAACUGAAGAGGUGAAACAUGGAGAGAAUAUUUCAGAACAGGAGAAAGGUAGGGUCAACAACGAGAAACCUGAAGUAACUGUUGCAACAGAAGAAGAGAAACCGACUGCUGUAGUUGUGAGCAUUGAACAAGGUGCAUCUCCAAUGCAUGACAACGAAAACAAGACCAUUUCUGUUACGAACACUGAGGAAAAGACACAUCUAAUGCCUGAUGUUGAAGAAGGGACUGUUUCUGUGCUGGCCGACUUAGUUUCAGCUCUGUGAGACACAGAGGAAAUGCAGUUAUGGUAUGCUGUUCAGGUCUGUGAUGUCACUUCCUGCAUGAUAGCUUGUUUGCAGACUCAUAAUGGUUUGAAUUCUGAAAGCAGGUGGAAUAAAGUAUGUUCAUGCAUCUUUCUGUAUGAUUGUGUAUGUGGUUGUGUUCAGUCAAGUGUGAGAGCAGUGUUGUGGUUUACGCUGGGCUUCGCUGUGAUAAAUUUAGUUGCAUGGGGAGGGGGUUGAAAAUCUGAGAGUACGAGUGUCUCGUGCGUGUGAAAGGUUGUGCUGUGGGAGUAAAGUAGAGAUGAGAUUCUCUGCAGAUGGUCAGAAAUGAAGUGUUCCUCCAGACUCCUGUGUGGACUCCUCGUGUCAUGCCUUUGUCUCAGAGGUUCAUAUGAGGAGCUGUCUGUGAUUCAGAGCCCAUUGAAUAUCACUGUGAAUGAAGGAGAACCUAUUCAAAUCAGCUGCUGCUGGAAUAAAACAAAAGAAGAAAACAAAACUGUUAAAGUAGUUUGGUAUAAGCAUAAUGAAAAAAUACCAGAAGAAAAGCGGCUAUAUCAAACGCCCUCAAUUAAAACUGCUCCUUUCUGGAAAUCACAAAUACAGUUCAAAAUGACACUGGAGACUAUGUUUGUAAAGUGAUUCAGGACAUACCAGUUCUGGAGGAAUCUGAGGGACAAAAAACACACCUGAAUGUCGUUAAAGGUGAACACAGUACUGAGACAACAACUCAAGGCAAUGCUAGUACAUCUGCCCAAAGCACUCGAACCAAUGGGACUAGCGGCCCCCUUUCACAUUCACCUCCCAUCCUGCCUCUAUCUCUGGCUGCUGCCAUCGGCCUGCUGACCCUCUGCUUGGCCUUCAGUGUGUGCAAGAUGAGAAACUCCUGCAAAAAAUCAGAGCGAGUGGUUAUUCACCAGACGCCACACAGUGAGGGUGAGGAGCAUGAGAACAUGGAAGAAGAAGGUAGCACAGGCUCCUCUCGAGGAUCCCUCCAAUGGUAUCAAGUGCCUGUUUACUGGUCUUACUUUGAUCUACAGAGGGGUGAAGACCAAUGACAACCAGAAAAGAAAGAUGAACGCGAUAUAGCCUACUCUUCACUGCAUUGCAUUUUGCAUUCUCUCUCUUCUUUCAUGAGAACAUCUUUGUAAACAGCAGUAAUUGUAAACAAAAGUAAUUUUAAUCUUCAGAUUCAGUUCAAACCCAUUGAGCUCUUGAUGGUUGUAACAGAUAUGAAUCCCUCUCUUUGUAGCUGCUCUGUUGAUAGUUUUAUACUUAUUUUAAUUUUGUUAGAUUUUUUAUAUGAGUCUUUUUAAAUUAAAGUGUGUCAUACAGACAUGCAUGGUAUACUACUUGGAUGUCAUGCCCUGACAGAUGCAAUUCAGCCAUGUACAAAAGUACCACACUCUGCCUGUCCUAAAGUUUUCUCUGUGUCUAACUCUGAAAAGUUUUAUAGUAAAGACUUUUGUACUGUACAGAUGUCGGAUGUGCCUUUCAGCCUUCUUAGAAAUGUUUCUCAGACUUCAUUCUGACACUUUCAUAGUGUGGUUUCAUUUGCCAUUUACAAUAAAAGCCUGUGAAAACCAUUGAAUGUGGUACUUGUGUCAGUACACGUGAGACAGAAG